rnacentral:rRNA from 1 species
CUCAGUAACACGUGGAUAACCUGCCCUUAGGAUUGGCAUAACACCGGGAAACUGGUGAUAAUACCGAAUAGACCAUUUAUGCUGGAAUGCUUUUUGGUUCAAAGGCUUCGGCUGCCUAAGGAUGGAUCUGCGGCCUAUCAGGUAGUAGUGGGUGUAAUGUACCUACUAGCCUACGACGGGUACGGGUUGUGAGAGCAAGAGCCCGGAGAUGGAUUCUGAGACAUAAAUCCAGACCCUACGGGGUGCAGCAGGCGCGAAAUCUUUACAAUGCGGGAAACCGCGAUAAGGGGACACUGAGUGCCAGCAUAUUAUGUUGGCUGUCCACAUGUCUAAAAACCAUGUGUUAGCAAGGGCCGGGCAAGACCGGUGCCAGCCGCCGCGGUAACACCGGCGGCCCGAGUGGUGAUCACUUUUAUUGGGUCUAAAGGGUCCGUAGCCGGUUUAAUCAGUCUUCUGGGAAAUCUGACAGCUCAACUGUUAGGCUUUCAGGGGAUACUGUUAAGCUUGGGACCGGGAGAGGUAAGAGGUACUACAGGGGUAGGAGUGAAAUCUUGUAAUCCCUGUGGGACCGCCGGUGGCGAAGGCGUCUUACCAGAACGGGUCCGACGGUGAGGGACGAAAGCUGGGGGCACGAACCGGAUUAGAUACCCGGGUAGUCCCAGCCGCAAACGAUGUUCGCUAAGUGUCAGGGACGGUGCGACCGUUUCUGGUGCCGUAGGGAAGCCGUGAAGCGAACCACCUGGGAAGUACGGCCGCAAGGCUGAAACUAAAG